rnacentral:tRNA from 1 species
GGGGAUGUAGCUCAAUUGGUAGGGUACUUGCCUAGAAUGCAUGAAGCCCUGGAUUCGAUUCUAGCACUGUUU